rnacentral:rRNA from 1 species
AACGAACGCUGGCGGCGUGCCUAACACAUGCAAGUCGAACGUGAUUGAAGAGCUUGCUCUUCAUGAAAGUGGCGCACGGGUGAGUAACGCGUAGAUAAUCUACCUGGUGAUUUGGGAUAACAGUUCGAAAGGACUGCUAAUACCGAAUAAGCCCACGGAGUCUUUGGAUUCUGCGGGAAAAGGGGGGGACCUUAAGGCUCUCCGUCAUCAGAUGAGUCUGCGUACCAUUAGCUAGUUGGUAGGGUAAAGGCCUACCAAGGCGACGAUGGUUAGCUGGUCUGAGAGGAUGAUCAGCCACACUGGAACUGAGACACGGUCCAGACUCCUACGGGAGGCAGCAGUGGGGAAUUUUGCGCAAUGGGGGAAACCCUGACGCAGCAACGCCGCGUGAGUGAUGAAGGCCCUUGGGUCGUAAAGCUCUGACAGAGGGAAAGAAAUGCAGGGGAGCUAAUAUCUCCUUUGCUUGACGGUACCCUCAAAGGAAGCACCGGCUAACUCCGUGCCAGCCGCCGCAGUAAUAC